AUGAACGCUGGCGGCGUGCCUAAUACAUGCAAGUCGAGCGAACAGACGAGGAGCUUGCUCCUCUGACGUUCGCGGCGGACGGGUGAGUAACACGUGGAUAACCUACCUAUAAGACUGGGAUAACUUCGGGAAACCGGAGCUAAUACCGGAUAAUAUAUUGAACCGCAUGGUUCAAUAGUGAAAGACGGUUUUGCUGUCACUUAUAGAUGGAUCCGCGCCGCAUUAGCUAGUUGGUAAGGUAACGGCUUACCAAGGCGACGAUGCGUAGCCGACCUGAGAGGGUGAUCGGCCACACUGGAACUGAGACACGGUCCAGACUCCUACGGGAGGCAGCAGUAGGGAAUCUUCCGCAAUGGGCGAAAGCCUGACGGAGCAACGCCGCGUGAGUGAUGAAGGUCUUCGGAUCGUAAAACUCUGUUAUUAGGGAAGAACAAAUGUGUAAGUAACUAUGCACGUCUUGACGGUACCUAAUCAGAAAGCCACGGCUAACUACG
rnacentral:rRNA from 1 species